rnacentral:rRNA from 1 species
GAUGAACGCUGGCGGCGUGCCUAAUACAUGCAAGUCGAGCGAACAGACGAGGAGUUUGCUCCUUUGACGUUAGCGGCGGACGGGUGAGUAACACGUGGAUAACCUACCUAUAAGACUGAGAUAACUUCGAGAAACCGGAGCUAAUACCGGAUAACAUGUUGAACCGCAUGGUUCAACAGUGAAAUACGGUCUUGCUGUCACUUAUAGAUGGAUCCGCGCCGGAUUAGCUAUUUGCUAAGGUAACGGCUUACCAAGGCAACGAUGCGUAGCCGACCGGAGAGGGUGAGCGGCCACACGGGAGCUGAGACACGGUCUAGACUCCUGCGAGAGGCAGCAGUAGGGAAUCUUGCACAAUGGGCGAAAGCCUGACGGUGCACCGCAGCGUGAGUCAGGAAGGUCUUCGGAUCGUAAAACUCUGUUAUGAGGGAAGAACAAUUGUGUAAGUACCUAUGCACGUCUUGACGGUACCUAAUCAGAAAGCCACGGCUAACUACGUG